rnacentral:rRNA from 1 species
UAGCGUUUGAUCAUGGCUCAGAACGAACGCUGGCGGCGUGGAUAAGACAUGCAAGUCGAGCGACUAUUACGGGGUAGCNNNNUUCCGUGGUGGGAGCGGCGCAAGGGUGCGUAACACGUGGGUAAUCUGCCAUGAAGUUUGGGAUAACCCCGAGAAAUCGGGGCUAAUACUGGAUGUGACUGUCUGGGGGCCUCCCUGGGUGGUUAAAGUUGGGGACCGCAAGGCCUGACGCUUCAUGAUGAGCCCGCGGCCUAUCAGCUAGUUGGUGAGGUAACGGCUCACCAAGGCUAAGACGGGUAGCUGGUCUGAGAGGACGACCAGCCACACUGGAACUGAGACACGGUCCAGACACCUACGGGUGGCAGCAGUCGAGAAUUUUUCACAAUGGGCGCAAGCCUGAUGGAGCGACGCCGCGUGGGGGAUGAAUGGCUUCGGCCCGUAAACCCCUGUCAUUUGCGAGCAAGGCGCAUUAUUUAAAAGAUGAUGUGUUGAUAGUAGCGGAAGAGGAAGGGACGGCUAACUCUGUGCCAGCAGCCGCGGUAAUACAGAGGUCCCGAGCGUUGUUCGGAUUCACUGGGCGUAAAGGGUGCGUAGGUGGUGAGGUAAGUCGGAUGUGAAAUACUGGAGCUUAACUCCGGAACGGCAUUGGAAACUACCUUGCUGGAGGGUUGGAGGGGGGACUGGAAUUCUCGGUGUAGCAGUGAAAUGCGUAGAUAUCGAGAGGAACACC